rnacentral:tRNA from 1 species
GGAGAGGUGGCAGAGCGGUUGAAUGCACCGGUCUUGAAAACCGGCAUCCCCUUACGGGGAUCGCGAGUUCGAAUCUCGCCCUCUCCG